rnacentral:rRNA from 1 species
ACGCACGCUGGCGGCGUGCUUAACACAUGCCAGUCGAACGGAAAGGCCCUGCUUUUGUGGGGUGCUCGAGUGGCGAACGGGUGAGUAACACGUGAGUAACCUGCCCUUGACUUUGGGAUAACUUCAGGAAACUGGGGCUAAUACCGGAUAGGAGCUCCUGCUGCAUGGUGGGGGUUGGAAAGUUUCGGCGGUUGGGGAUGGACUCGCGGCUUAUCAGCUUGUUGGUGGGGUAGUGGCUUACCAAGGCUUUGACGGGUAGCCAGCCUGAGAGGGUGACCGGCCACAUUGGGACUGAGAUACGGCCCAGACUCCUACGGGAGGCAGCAGUGGGGAAUAUUGCACAAUGGGCGGAAGCCUGAUGCAGCAACGCCGCGUGCGGGAUGACGGCCUUCGGGUUGUAAACCGCUUUCGCCUGUGACGAAGCGUGAGUGACGGUAAUGGGUAAAGAAGCACCGGCUAACUACGUG